CGGGUGAGUAACACGUGGAUAACCUACCUAUAAGACUGGGAUAACUUCGGGAAACCGGAGCUAAUACCGGAUAAUAUUUUGAACCGCAUGGUUCAAAAGUGAAAGACGGUCUUGCUGUCACUUAUAGAUGGAUCCGCGCUGCAUUAGCUAGUUGGUAAGGUAACGGCUUACCAAGGCAACGAUGCAUAGCCGACCUGAGAGGGUGAUCGGCCGCACUGGAACUGAGGCACGGUCCAG
rnacentral:rRNA from 1 species